GGGAACCGGCCUCCAGCCCCGUCCCGCCUGGCCAGACUCCACCAACGCGCCCCGCGCGUGGAAUCCUACGGGGUGCCGAAGCCGACAGCACUCCUACUGCUCGGAGUGGAGUCGCUCCGGCCCUCCCCUCCCGCGUAUGCCCUAUGGCUUUGACACGACCUGGGAGCUCCUGAGUGCCCCUCAUCCUGACUCCCCUGGGUAGAGGGGGCUGCAGGUUCUUCGCCUGCGCUCAGCUCGGAGGGCUGCAAGCUGAGAGCUCACGGCGGUCCCUCGCGGACGAACCCGUGCCUCCAAGGACAGCUCCCGCGUCACCCUGCUUCGGGAAACUUCAUUCGAGCUUGCCCUGCUGCGGGCGGCGCUAAGGGACGCGAGGUCGCUGUGACCCUGCUGCUUCUCUGGUCACUGUGACCUUCAGUCCUCCGGAGCUCCGCCUAGACCCCAAGCAUCCCCGAAGCCCUGGGCUCAGGGGGCUGAGCCAAAGGGCCAAGGCUAGUGCUGACCGCGGCAUCCCUGACACCUGCUCUGGCCAGCGCCGGGCCCAGCACUGCGGCCACUUGUCGGUCCAGAGGCUCAUCGGUCGUGAAUCUGCAAGCACCGAACGUGGAGACGUAGGGGCUGCGGGGCCAGGUCCCGCGGGUGGUUGCGCCCGAGGCAAGGAUGGGAUGGGGGUUCCCACAGACACGACAGGGGACAAGCAGAGUUGGAGCGGUGGGUCCGCGUGUGAUGACUCGGGGGCACAGUGGACACCGCGCGGGCACCACGCAGCUGACCGCACCGCAAACAGACGUGAGCUUAGUCUUCCCGCGUGUAUUGCGUGAACUGCGCUGUCGCUCUUUCUUAAAUGACUUUUUCUUUCUUUCCUUUUUCUUUUUCCUUUCCUCCUUCCCCACUUCCCUCCCUCCUUCUCCUCCCGUCCCCUCCUUCCCACCACCUCUCUCCCCUGCUUGCCCAUCCUCCUCCCUUUUCUUCUCUCCCCCGCUCCCUCCCAUCUUUUGUCUUUAGCUCUAAAGUUCCCUGAACAUCGGUUUCCAGGAACACAGCACUUGAUGUCAGAAACCUCCCCUGCGUGUGUCAGUUUGUAAGUUGCUGCAACUUACUAGCAGUGUGAUGGUAGUCCAUUUACCUGAUUUCAGCCUCAGAUUCUUCACGGGUAAAAUGGGCAUAAUACAGGAUAACUGAUAUAGUAUAUGUGAAAGCGCCUCAUAUGCUUUAAAGAACUGUGAAAUGUUAUAAAAUAAAGAAUGGAUGAAAAUUUUAAUAAAAUUAAUAGGGUUGGGUCUCCAAAACUUUCCCCUGGAGGAACUUUCCUUACUCUAUUCCAAACUGAAGAAUUUUGGUGAGUCUAGGGGAAGGAGGAGGGGAAUUGGCACACAUUCCCUGCCCAGACCUGCAGCCCUAGCACCAGAGCUUG
rnacentral:lncRNA from 1 species